GCAAGAGAGAAAAAAAAAACAGAGACGCAAAAACAGAGGAGGGAGAUCUGAAAAACGGAGGGAACAAAAACAACAAAAAAGAGAAAGAAACGAAGAAGGAGAGAAAGAGAAAGCUUUCCCCCAACAAAGCUGGAUUCGACCCCAUCUUCUUCACGUCCUUUCCUUCAUUGAACACCAUUUUUAUAGCCAUGUAAAGCUCCUCUCUCUUUACCCAAACCCAGCUACAAAAACAACCUAAAACCACCAUGAAUGAGCCUUGAAACUCCACAAAAAACCAGCAAAAAAAAAGAGCUUCAUUUUUCCAGCAAAAUAGCCGUCCAAACAGCCAUGAAAGCAGCCCCUUUUCUUCAUUAAAACUCCAUUGUUUCAGCCCGACGACCAACUGCUAAACCAUCCGAAAACAGUCACCAAAUCAUCGCCCAAGCCCAUCCCAGAACCUCUCGCACAAACACAUCCAUAGGUUCUCAAAACAAUAAGGUCUUCCAUCGAGUUUUAUCGUCGAGAAAGCUCCUGUUCGAUAUCUUUUCCAGUGAGGUUCUCGUUCAUCCGCGAUCCAGAUCCGUCGAGGUUGUUUGAACUCCGUCCGAUGACAUGUCUGCCUUCAAGUUGUAGCCGGCACCAUCCUUCGGUAAUUCGAACUUGGAGAUUUUUAUGUCAAUAAAGUGAAAAGUUUAUUCAAAAAAGGUCCGUCUUGUUCUUCUUUAAAGGUCCGUCUUGUUCUUCUUUAACAACUCGUCUAUUGAUUUCCACGAUGCUUCUUAUGUCAAUAUUUUAGUUAUUUUAUUUUGAUUUAUAAUGUGUUGUCCUAAUUGAUAUGUUUAUCCAUGUUAGAAAAACUAUUUUUUUCUUAAUUAUUGUUUUGAGAACAGUAUCUCUCAUGGUGGCGAGA
rnacentral:lncRNA from 1 species